AUAUCAGUCAUGCAUAGCAUAUCAAUAAGCGGAGGAAAAGAAACUAACAAGGAUUCCCUUAGUAACGGCGAGUGAAGCGGGAAGAGCUCAAAUUUGAAAUCUUCAAGGUUUUACCUUGACGAAUUGUAGUUUAAAGAAGUGUUUUCUGUUGAAGUUUUGGUAAAAGUUCUUUGGAAUAGGACAUCAUAGAGGGUGAGAAUCCCGUAUUUGACCAUUACUUUCAGCUUUGUGAUACACUUUCAAAGAGUCGGAUUGUUUGGGAAUGCAGUCCAAAAUGGGUGGUAAAUUUCAUCUAAAGCUAAAUAUUGGCGAGAGACCGAUAGCGAACAAGUACCGUGAGGGAAAGAUGAAAAGAACUUUGAAAAGAGAGUUAAACAGUACGUGAAAUUGUCAAAAGGGAAGCGUUUGACACCAGUGUUGUUUUCUCGAAAAUCAAUUAAAAAGAGUUGGAUUUUGUGUUGUAUUGACUUUAUCAGCUUUCUUCACUCUUUUCCAGCUUUUUUUAAUGCACUUUUCGUUUAACAAGUCAACAUCAGUUUCUUUUGUUGUAAAAAGGUCAUUGGAAGGUGGCUUUCUCUCCGGAGAAAGUGUUUAUAGCCUUUGACUCAUGCAAUCGGAGAGACUGAGGUCUGCAGCGUAGAUCCUUCGGGGUUAGAUACAUUUGUGCUAAGUUAUAGCUUUUCAUAGACAACUUGUUGACUAUGUUUAGUCUUGUAGCUUACUCGCUUAUGCUAUUUUACCUACGCUUAGGAUGUUGAACUCUAUCACACACAG
rnacentral:rRNA from 1 species